AACGAACGCUGGCGGCAGGCUUAACACAUGCAAGUCGAACGCUCGUAGCAAUACGGGAGUGGCGGACGGGUGAGUAACGCGUGGGAACGUGCCCUGAGGUACGGAAUAACUGAGGGAAACUUCAGCUAAUACCGUAUGAGCCCCGAGAGGGGGAAAGAUUUAUCGCCUUGGGAGCGGCCCGCGUCGGAUUAGCUAGUUGGUGGGGUAACGGCCUACCAAGGCUUCGAUCCGUAGCUGGUCUGAGAGGACGAUCAGCCACACUGGGACUGAGACACGGCCCAGACUCCUACGGGAGGCAGCAGUGGGGAAUCUUGCGCAAUGGGGGCAACCCUGACGCAGCCAUGCCGCGUGAACGAUGAAGGCCUUAGGGUUGUAAAGUUCUUUACCCGUGACGAUGAUGACGGUAACGGGGGAAUAAGCUCCGGCUAAACUUCGUGCCAGCAGCCGCGGUAAU
rnacentral:rRNA from 1 species